AUUGAACGCUGGCGGCAGGCCUAAUACAUGCAAGUCGAGCGGCAGCGGGAAAGUAGCUUGCUACUUUUGCCGGCGAGCGGCGGACAGGUGAGUAAUGCCUGGGAAAUUGCCCAGUCGAGGGGGAUAACAGCUGGAAACGACUGCUAAUACCGCAUACGCCCUACGGGGGAAAGCAGGGGACCUUCGGGCCUUGCGCGAUUGGAUAUGCCCAGGUGGGAUUAGCUAGUUGGUGAGGUAAUGGCUCACCAAGGCGACGAUCCCUAGCUGGUCUGAGAGGAUGAUCAGCCACACUGGAACUGAGACACGGUCCAGACUCCUACGGGAGGCAGCAGUGGGGAAUAUUGCACAAUGGGGGAAACCCUGAUGCAGCCAUGCCGCGUGUGUGAAGAAGGCCUUCGGGUUGUAAAGCACUUUCAGCGAGGAGGAAAGGUUGAUGCCUAAUACGUAUCAACUGUGACGUUACUCGCAGAAGAAGCACCGGCUAACUCCGUGCCAGCAGCCGCCGUAAGAC
rnacentral:rRNA from 1 species